CCUACGGGUGGCUGCAGUAAGGAAUAUUGCGCAAUGGACGAAAGUCUGACGCAGCAACGCCGCGUGCAGGAUGACGGCCCUUUGGGUUGUAAACUGCUGUAGCAGGGGAAUAAGAGCCCACUCGGUGGGUGUGAAGGUACCCUGAAAGUAAGCUCCGGCUAACUACGUGCCAGCAGCCGCGGUAAUACGUAGGGAGCAAGCGUUGUCCGGAUUCACUGGGUGUAAAGGGUGCGCAGGCGGGUUGGCAAGUCAGAGGUGAAAUCUCACAGCUUAAC
rnacentral:rRNA from 1 species